AGAACGAACGCUGGCGGCAUGCCUAAUACAUGCAAGUCGAACGAACACUUCGGUGUUAGUGGCGCACGGGUGCGUAACGCGUGGGAAUCUGCCCUUGGGUUCGGAAUAACAGUUGGAAACGACUGCUAAUACCGGAUGAUAUCGAAAGAUCAAAGAUUUAUCGCCCAGGGAUGAGCCCGCGUAGGAUUAGCUAGUUAGUGAGGUAAAGGCUCACCAAGGCGACGAUCCUUAGCUGGUCUGAGAGGAUGAUCAGCCACACUGGGACUGAGACACGGCCCAGACUCCUACGGGAGGCAGCAGUAGGGAAUAUUGGACAAUGGGCGCAAGCCUGAUCCAGCAAUGCCGCGUGAGUGAUGAAGGCCUUAGGGUGUAAAGCUCUUUUACCCGAGAUGAUAAUGACAGUAGUCGGGAAGAAGUAACGCCCCGGUACUAACCGUCCCGACGCCAGCCACGCCGAC
rnacentral:rRNA from 1 species